CCUACGGGAGGCAGCAGUAAGGAAUAUUGGUCAAUGGACGCAAGUCUGAACCAGCCAUGCCGCGUGAAGGAUUAAGGCCCUCUGGGUUGUAAACUUCUUUUAUAGGGGACGAAAAAAGGGCAUUCUUGCUCACUUGACGGUACCCUAGGAAUAAGCACCGGCUAACUCCGUGCCAGCAGCCGCGGUAAUACGGAGGGUGCAAGCGUUAUCCGGAUUUACUGGGUUUAAAGGGUGCGUAGGUGGGUUGGUAAGUCAGUGGUGAAAUCUUCGAGCUUAACUCGGAAACUGCCAUUGAUACUAUCAAUCUUGAAUCAUCUAGAGGUAAGCGGAAUAUGUCAUGUAGCGGUGAAAUGCUUAGAUAUGACAUAGAACACCAAUUGCGAAGGCAGCUUACUAUGGAUGUAUUGACACUGAGGCACGAAAGCGUGGGGAUCAAACAGGAUUAGAUACCCUGGUAGUCCACGCCCUAAACGAUGGAUACUCGACAUUUGUGAUAUACUAUAAGUGUCUGAGCGAAAGCAUUAAGUAUCCCACCUGGGAAGUACGACCGCAAGGUUGAAACGUCAAAUGAAUUGACGG
rnacentral:rRNA from 1 species